UAGUCCUAGCUGUAAACGAUGAGCACUUGUUCGAGGGGGCUUCCACACCCUCUCGGACGUAGCGAAAGUGUUAAGUGCUCCGCCUGGGGAGUAUGGUCGCAAGGCUAAAACUCAAAGGAAUUGACGGGGGCUCACACAAGCGGUGGAGGAUGUGGCUUAAUUCGAGGCUACGCGAAGAACCUUAUCCUGGUCUUGACAUGUUUAAGAAUCUUCCUGAAAGGGAAGAGUGCCUUCGGGAGCUUUUACACAGGUGCUGCAUGGCUGUCGUCAGCUCGUGUCGUGAGGUGUUGGGUUAAGUCCCGCAACGAGCGCAACCCCUAUUUUUAGUUGCCAGCACGUAAAGGUGGGGACUCUAGAAAGACUGCCGGCGUAAGCCGGGGGAAGGUGGGGACGACGUCAAAUCAUCAUGGCCUUUAUGCCCAGGGCGACACACGUGCUACAAUGGUACAUACAGAGGGUAGCGAAGCAGUGAUGUGGAGCCAAUCCCAGAAAGUGUAUCCCAGUUCGGAUUGAAGU
rnacentral:rRNA from 1 species